UGGGGGAUUUUGGACAAUGGGCGAAAGCCUGAUCCAGCAAUGCCGCGUGUGUGAAGAAGGCCUUCGGGUUGUAAAGCACUUUUGUCCGGAAAGAAAUCCUUGGCUCUAAUACAGUCGGGGGAUGACGGUACCGGAAGAAUAAGCACCGGCUAACUACGUGCCAGCAGCCGCGGUAAUACGUAGGGUGCAAGCGUUAAUCGGAAUUACUGGGCGUAAAGCGUGCGCAGGCGGUUUGCUAAGACCGAUGUGAAAUCCCCGGGCUCAACCUGGGAACUGCAUUGGUGACUGGCAGGCUAGAGUAUGGCAGAGGGGGGUAGAAUUCCACGUGUAGCAGUGAAAUGCGUAGAGAUGUGGAGGAAUACCGAUGGCGAAGGCAGCCCCCUGGGCCAAUACUGACGCUCAUGCACGAAAGCGUGGGGAGCAAACAGGAUUAGAUACCCUGGUAGUCCACGCCCUAAACGAUGUCAACUAGUUGUUGGGGAUUCAUUUCCUUAGUAACGUAGCUAACGCGUGAAGUUGACCGCCUGGGGAGUACGGUCGCAAGAUUAAAACUU
rnacentral:rRNA from 1 species